GCCAAACACGGAGAGUUUUACCAGAAGCGGUGAAGGAAAAUAUUUAUUCAUUGUAUACAUUUUUUGAGAAUGAACAUAACAGAAAAAGACCUGUUGUAGCAUAUGAUAAAGUUACACUGCGUGUUUCAAAAGCAUUAAAAAUUCCACAUUCCACAGUUAAAUGUAUUAUUCACCGUUAUAAAAACAAAUCCGUUUCUGACACAGUUGAAACCAUACAUAACCAGAAUAUAAAAAAAAUGUAGGAGAAAACCCUUGUGCGAUACUUUUGAUUUGUCAUUAAUUCGUAGGACAGUACACGAAACUUACAGAAAAAAUGUGUUUUUAUCUUUAAAAUCAUUACAACGAACACUAACAUGCAGGGGGUUGAAUUUAUCAAAGACUACCCUUAAUACGAAUCUUAAAAAGAUAGGUUUUAAAUAUUACAAAAAACACGGCAAGCGUUUCAUUAAGGAAAGAAUAGACGUUGUAGCUGUCAGGUGCAGUUAUUUGAGAAAAAUUAAAACAUAUCGGACUGAAGGCAGAGAGAUUGUUUACUUGGAUGAGACUUGGUGCAACACCAAUCAUGCAUGUGAGGGUGUGUGGACUGUGUGGUAGGCAUAUCCCAUUAGGGAAGGGUAGCCGCAUUAUUAUGGAUGCUGGUUCGGCAGAGCAGGGCUUCAUUCCCAACUGUGGGCUCAUUUUUAAAUCAAAAACAAAAAGUGCCGAUUACUACGAUGAAAUGAAUUCAAAGCAUUUUCUGGAAUGGUUCGAACAUACUUUGAUACCCAAUUUGUCACCCGCAAGUGUGAUAGUACUGGACAAUGCUCCGUACCACAAUGCAUUAACAUCUGACACAAAACCUGUCUCAAGUUCUUUAAACAAAACAGCUAUUAUUUCGUGGCUGAACCAAAGAAACAUAAUAUACGACGAAGAUUUAACGAAAGCCGAGCUUUUGGCAUUAGCCAAACGAGAUAAGCCAACACCAGUGUACUGUACUGACAGAGUAGCCGAACAGCACGGUCAUAUAGCGAUUCGCCUCCCAGUGAAGCACUGUGAAUUGAACCCGAUCGAGUUGAUACAAGCUGAAGAAAAGAACUGGGUAGCUAGGGAAAAUUCUAAGAAAAAGACGUUCUUAACUUGUUUUUAAAAGCCAAAGGUACAUUCUGUCUUCCACUAAUUACAACGUCACAUCCAAGGGAAGGGUCCAUUGGGACCCGUUCCCUCGCCGAAACGUAAUUCUUGUACCCCUCUUUUGUUUAGUAAUCUCUUUGUAAUUUACGAAUGCCAAACUUAUCAACUGCUAGGCCGAAAUUUAUUUUUCCAUGUGCGAAGGAAACUUCUUACAAACUUUGGUGAAAUAGUUUUGGAUAAUAGAUUGAAAAUAUGAAAGGUUUAAGGAUGACGGUAUGACGGACGAUGAAAUCGGUUCAGGUGACCUAAAAACAUACUAUUAAUUUUUAAACAUAUGUAGAUACUCAAAUAAAUAACGUUUUUUGAAGAAAAAAAUCCGUGUAAAUAAUAAUUUGUAUCUUUACAAUUUAUCAACAAAUUACAGGGUUAAAUAUUAUUUUUAAAUACGUGUAUGAAGAGGGUCAAACAAAAUAUAUUGCAGAAUACACAAAAAAUUCCAACUGAUCCCGACCAUCCGUCAAGGACCUUUAAAUUCUAUUUUAAAAACAAAUAGCGGCUUUUGGGCUCCCUCUAUUAAAAAAUCCUAGAUCCGCGCCUGAUCUAGGGUAGGAAAAUCCCUUUGCACGAACGUGUGGUUCGCAUGUUUACGCCUACAAGGCGAAGUAGAAGUUGAAACAUUUGUUCCUUCAUCACAUUUCAUGUAGGCUAGUGAAUGCACCUGUAAUUAACAGCGAAGCAAUAUACAUUAAGUCAAUGUAUUAAAUUUCGUUCUUAAUAUAUUUCUGUGAAAUCACUAAUAUAAGAAGGUUACAUCGGAUACAUUUACUAGCUGUGUUCAAGUAUUAAAUUUGCAACAUGAAAUGUAAACAAAAUUCAAUCAUAUAACACAAUUUGUAUUAUUUUUAUAAUCUGACAAUAAUAAAAUUUACGUUUUCUUUGCACAUUACUGUUGACAUUUAUAUUUUUCAUCACUUCAGAGCUUAUCACAGCAGAAAUAUGGCGCAAAGCAGUCGAUAUCGUUAAGCGAGAAGUAGAGGAAGUAUUUUGGAAAAGAGAUGGAAUUGACAAGUCUGAAGUAGCACCGAUUUUUAUAAAUUUUUCAUCAGAUGACGAAAGUAGUAAUGACGAUGAUGCUGAGAUUUAUGAUGAAGAAAUGUUUGAUGAUGAUGUUGGCCACUACAGCAGAGUAGAUGAAAGUGAUGAUGACGACAGUAUAGAUGACGACAGUGAUGAUGGCGAGACGACGACAGUAAAGAUGCCAGAGAAGAUGGUUACGGAAAAAGCAAUGCAACUAUUCACAGCCCUGCAAGUCCAGGUGGUAACUGUGCUGUGUGUGGGUUAAGGGAACCGCCUAUGGUUAAGAAGACGAAGUCUACUUAUGACUGGGGCCAGUGCGAUUUAUGCGACUUGUGGGUGCACCUGGAACAUUGUUGUCCACAGAAAAAACUUGAUGAUCUUGACGACUUUGUAUGUCAAAAGUGUGCCAAGAUACUAAAAAAUGAAAACUAAUGAUUGUAUCUUACGUGCAUGCUAAUGGCAUGCGAUCUUCUGCGUUCGAUGAUUGUGUUAAAGUAGUUCUUCAUGUUUCUGGCUCUUCCCCAUAGUUUGAUUUUAAGCGUUUCUCCUUUUAGCAAGGUAUGCUGGUUUUGUGCACUGGUGUAGUUGAUGAAGUUUUGGUGUAUCUUGUACUCGUGGUGUUUUGGGAAGCUGAAUCCCAUCGGUGCUUGAUGGUGGUUUUGAUGUAUUUUUUCAAUUUCUUUCCUCAUUGGCAAGUUUCCCAUUCCCACAAUGAUCUGGGAUUAACUGCAGAAUAAUAGUAGGUUUAUUGAAUAGAUAAUUUGUUUUUAAGGUAACUGAUACAUUCUGUUCCAGGGCAAGGGCGCAGGGUGUGUGUCACUCUGCUACAGAUUAAAGGGAUGGAUGUUCUCACUUGUAAUUCUAAACUUUGGGUAGUAUAUGUUUCCUAAAGGUUUAUGUUAGUAUCUGACUUUGCUGUUUUCAGUUGAUAGUUUUGAAAUUGCCAUUCAAGCGUUUUUUGGUGAAAGCUUAGAACGUGCUGUGCCUCUGAAAACAUGUUUCUCUCAUCGUAUUACAAGCUGUGUUGUUCCAGCGGUUAAGUGUUGGCUUUCUGUACCAUUUCAGAGAUGGGAGUGGUUUUCAUUGUUCGAAGGAUGGUUCUGAGGCAGAGGUUAUAUGUUAGACUUUUGUUUUUGUUGAUACCAAUUAUUAUUAAGAGUGUAGGACGUAUGUAUACAGGUUUUACAUUUAAUGUAAAUCGUAGAUGUUCAAGUAUAUUUGUUGUGCAAUGAGAAAACGUAGUUAUACGAGUGGAAUAAAAAUUGUUGAUUUUCGUCAUUACUGGAUGAAAUUAAUAACACAGCUAGGUGUUAAUUUUCAAUGUUUGAUGUUCAGUAAUAGGUACAUGUAUUAGGCAAUGACACAUAAUAAUAUGUAUUUGUUAACUGAAAUGGUAGACUGUUGAGAACAAUUGUUGUGCAUUAAAUAACAUUUUUAUACAUGUUACUUUUAUUAUAAAUCAUAAAUUUUAUAAAUAUAUCUUGUGCAAUGAGUAUAAACACAUAUAUAUUCAGGACAAAAUUGGUAACACGUAUGUAUUAGUUUUAAAAUGUUUUAUAUUUAACUGAAAGUAUUACAUGUAACAACAUAUACCCAUAUGUUUCAGUUAAUAAGUGUUUGUUAAGUACAAUUAUUAUGCAAUGCAUAACACAACGCGUGUGUGUUGCAUAUAAUACAAAUCAUAGAUUUUGACAUUCUUUUAUUGUGAUAGGAGUAACGUAUUUAUAUAUGAUUUACUAUUAAUAUAUAUUGUUGAUUUUUAAUUACAGGGUGAAAUGAAUAACACCAAUAUCAUUUGCAUGUGUGUUAUUAUUUUUUAAAGUACAU
rnacentral:lncRNA from 1 species